GUCGAACGGUAAGGCCCCUUCGGUNACACGAGUGGCGAACGGGUGAGUAACACGUGGGUAAUCUGCCCUGCACUUCGGGAUAAGCCUGGGAAACUGGGUCUAAUACCGGAUAUGAACUCCUGCCGCAUGGUGGGGGUUGGAAAGUUUUUCGGUGCAGGAUGAGCCCGCGCCUAUCAGCUUGUUGGUGGGGUAAUGGCCUACCAAGGCGACGACGGGUAGCCGGCCUGAGAGGGUGAUCGGCCACACUGGGACUGAGACACGGCCCAGACUCNUACGGGAGGCAGCAGUGGGGAAUAUUGCACAAUGGGCGAAAGCCUGAUGCAGCGACGCCGCGUGGGGGAUGACGGUCUUCGGAUUGUAAACCCCUUUCAGUAGGGACGAAGCGCAAGUGACGGUACCUGCAGAAGAAGCACCGGCUAACUACGUGCCAGCAGCCGCGGUAAUACGUAGGGUGCGAGCGUUGUCCGGAAUUACUGGGCGUAAAGAGCUCGUAGGCGGUUUGUCACGUCGUCUGUGAAAUCCCUCGGCUUAACCGGGGGCGUGCAGGCGAUACGGGCAGACUUGAGAUGGGUAGCGAACAGGAUUAGAUACCCUGGUAGUCCAUGCCGUAAACGAUGUCUACUAGGUGUGGGGUCCUUCCACGGACUCCGUGCCGAUCGUAACGCAUUAAGCGCCCGCCUGGGGAGUACGGCGCAAGGCUAAAACUCAAAGGAAUUGACGGGGGCCGCACAAGCGGCGGAGCAUGUGGAUUAAUUCGAUGCAACGCGAAGAACCUUACCUAGGCUUGACAUAUACAGGACGACGGCAGAGAUGUCGUUUCCCUUGUGGCUUGUAUACAGGUGGUGCAUGGUUGUCGUCAGCUCGUGUCGUGAGAUGUUGGGUUAAGUCCCGCAACGAGCGCAACCCCUGUCUCAUGUUGCCAGCACGUAAUGGUGGGACUCGUGAGAGACUGCCGGGGUCAACUCGGAGGAAGGUGGGGAUGACGUCAAAUCAUCAUGCCCCUUAUGUCUAGGGCUUCACACAUGCUACAAUGGCUAGUACAGAGGGCUCGAUACCGCGAGGUGGAGCGAAUCCCUUAAAGCUGGUCUCAGUUCGGAUUGGGGUCUGCAACUCGACCUUAUGAAGUCGGAGUCGCUAGUAAUCGCAGAUCAGCAACGCUGCGGUGAAUACUU
rnacentral:rRNA from 1 species